GCCGUGGUGGCGAAAUUGGUAUACGCAGUGGACUUAAAAUUCACCUCCUUAUGGAUUGCGGGUUCGAGUCCCGCCCACGGCACCA
rnacentral:tRNA from 1 species